rnacentral:rRNA from 1 species
UGGCUUAAUUUGACUCAACGCGGGAAAUCUUACCGGGUCCGGACACACUGAGGAUUGACAGACAAAUAUAGAAAUUUUAUAUUUCUCAUAUAUAAAGAUGCUAGUUCUUUCAUGAUUAUGUGAUAGGUGGUGCAUGGCCGUUCUUAGUUCGUGGAGUGAUCUGUCUGCUUAAUUGCGUUUCAAUUUUUAUUAUGUAUACGUAUGACCCACGUUUACGCGUGCGAGUCUAGUAUGCUAUCAUUUGAAAGCAACGAACGUGACCGUAUCCUUUUAUUAUAUACGCACGCGUAUAUUUAUUCAUUAAAGGGACCGCUGUUUCUUUUUUUAAACCAGAGGAAGGUUACGGCAAUAACAGGUCUGUGAUGCCC